UACGUAGGGUGCGAGCGUUAAUCGGAAUUACUGGGCGUAAAGCGUGCGCAGGCGGUUUUGCAAGCCGGAUGUGAAAUCCCCGGGCUCAACCUGGGAAUGGCAUUCGGGACUGCAAGGCUGGAGUGCGGCAGAGGAGACUGGAAUUCCUGGUGUAGCAGUGAAAUGCGUAGAUAUCAGGAGGAACACCUGUGGCGAAAGCGGCUCACUGGACCAUAACUGACGCUGAUGCACGAAAGCUAGGGGAGCAAACAGG
rnacentral:rRNA from 1 species